rnacentral:rRNA from 1 species
UACGGAGGGUGCAAGCGUUGCUCGGAAUUAUUGGGCGUAAAGGGUAGGUAGGUGGUCUCAUUUGUCUGGGGUGAAAGCCUUGAGCUUAACUCAAGAAGUGCCUCAGAAACGGUGAGACUAGAGUCCUAGAGAGGGUCGUGGAAUUCCCGGUGUAGCGGUGAAAUGCGUAGAGAUCGGGAGGAACACCAGAGGCGAAAGCGGCGACCUGGAUAGGCACUGACACUCAACUACGAAAGCGUGGGGAGCAAACAGG